rnacentral:lncRNA from 1 species
CUCUCUCUCUCUACAUCUCCCCACAAAUCUUUCUUCGGCUCCUUGGUCCUGUACACACCCACCCAAGGCCAAGGGGUUUGAGGUGGUCGUAGAGUAGAGUAGAGAAGAGAAGAGAAGAAGGUCCUCCUUCGGCUUCAAUCCCAGCCCAGGUAUAGACCUCCCCUGAUCCUAUUUUUAAUCUCUUCUUGUGUAGGCUCGCUCGCAUUGCCCCUCCUUUUGUCCCCACCUUCGCUUUUGUGUUGUUUAAUGGUGGCAAUUGAUGCGGUUGGAUGAGAGGUUUCCUCGAGCCAAAGGAGAGAGACAAAGUGCUGCGUUUCAGAGAGAGAAAGAGUCGGGUUCCGGAGCUGUUCUUCGUCCCGAGAG